CCUUGGGAUAACUCAGUCGGUAGAACAUGAGACUUUUAAUCUCAGGGUCAUGCGUUCGAGUCCUGAUCUGGGGC
rnacentral:tRNA from 1 species